rnacentral:rRNA from 1 species
UACGGAGGGUGCAAGCGUUGCUCGGAAUUAUUGGGCGUAAAGGGCAGGUAGGUGGUCCGAUUUGUCUGGGGUGAAAUCCCAGGCUUAACCCUGGAAGUGCCCCAGAAACGGUCGGACUCGAGUGCUGGAGAGGGUCGUGGAAUUCCCGGUGUAGCAGUGAAAUGCGUAGAGAUGCGGAGGAACACCGAUGGCGAAGGCAGCCCCCUGGGCUAACACUGACGCUCAGGCACGAAAGCGUGGGGAGCAAACAGG